GUUUUUAUAGUUUAAAAAAACAUUAGAUUGUGAAUCUAAAAACAGAAGUCAAA
rnacentral:tRNA from 1 species